AGAGUUUGAUCCUGGCUCAGGACGAACGUUGGCGGCGUGCUUAACACAUGCAAGUCGAGCGGUUGAGAGGUGGGAGGUGAGAGGUUAGACGUGGGAGAAAGAAAAGAAUUUGGCUUUAGCCAAAUUCUAAUUAAAGUUCUCACUUCCAACAUCUCACAUCUCACUUCUCAAUAGCGGCGGACGGGUGAGUAACGCGUGGAUAAUCUGCCUGUAAGACAGGGAUAACGCCGGGAAACCGGUGCUAAUACCCGAUAACCUCUUUGAAUCGCAUGGUUUGAAGAGAAAAGGUGGCCUCUUACAGAUGAAUCCGCGUCCCAUUAGCCAGUUGGUGGGGUAAUGGCCUACCAAAGCGACGAUGGGUAGCCGGCCUGAGAGGGUGACCGGCCACACUGGAACUGAGAUACGGUCCAGACUCCUACGGGAGGCAGCAGUGGGGAAUCUUCCGCAAUGGGCGAAAGCCUGACGGAGCAACGCCGCGUGAGCGAAGAAGGUCUUCGGAUUGUAAAGCUCUGUGAUAUUGGACGAACAAUUUCCCGUAAAUAAUGGGAAGGAAUGACGGAACUACGUGCCAGCAGCCGCGGUAAUACGUAGGGGGCAAGCGUUGUCCGGAAUUAUUGGGCGUAAAGGGCGCGUAGGCGGAUUUUUAAGUCUGGUGUGAAAGAUCAGGGCUCAACCCUGAGAGUGCAUCGGAAACUGGGGAUCUUGAGGACAGGAGAGGAAAGUGGAAUUCCACGUGUAGCGGUGAAAUGCGUAGAUAUGUGGAGGAACACCAGUGGCGAAGGCGACUUUCUGGACUGUAACUGACGCUGAGGCGCGAAAGCGUGGGGAGCAAACAGGAUUAGAUACCCUGGUAGUCCACGCCGUAAACGAUGAGUGCUAGGUGUAGAGGGUAUCGACCCCUUCUGUGCCGCAGUUAACACAAUAAGCACUCCGCCUGGGGAGUACGGCCGCAAGGUUGAAACUCAAAGGAAUUGACGGGGGCCCGCACAAGCGGUGGAGCAUGUGGUUUAAUUCGACGCAACGCGAAGAACCUUACCAGGGCUUGACAUCUCCUCAGAAUCCCUAGGAAACUAGGGAGUGCCCUUCGGGGAGCUGAGAGACAGGUGGUGCAUGGUUGUCGUCAGCUCGUGUCGUGAGAUGUUGGGUUAAGUCCCGCAACGAGCGCAACCCCUGUGUUUAGUUGCUAACGAGUAAUGUCGAGCACUAAAGAGACUGCCGUUGACAAAACGGAGGAAGGUGGGGAUGACGUCAAAUCAUCAUGCCCCUUAUGUCUUGGGCUACACACGUACUACAAUGGCCUGAACAGAGGGAAGCAAAACUGCGAAGUUAAGCGAAUCCCUUAAAACAGGUCCCAGUUCGGAUUGUAGGCUGCAACUCGCCUACAUGAAGUCGGAAUCGCUAGUAAUCGCAGGUCAGCAUACUGCGGUGAAUACGUUCCCGGGCCUUGUACACACCGCCCGUCACACCAUGGGAGUUAGAAGCACCCGAAGCCGGUGACUUAACCGUAAGGAGAGAGCCGUCGAAGGUGAAGCUAGCGACUGGGGUGAAGUCGUAACAAGGUAACC
rnacentral:rRNA from 1 species